GUUGUGGUGUUGUGCAUAUAGUCUUUAGGAAUCAACGCUCCCACGAGUUAGUCGAAGAUGAAAUCUUUGAAAAGUAUUAUCAAAGGUGAGCAAUUAGUGCGUGAG